AGUUGAGCUGCCCCAGGCGGCCAGGGCUGCGUCUUGGCGCCGGAGCCAUCUUAUCUGUAUGGCCGCGGGGCUCUGAGCCUUUUCCCUGGCGCUUUGCUGCCGCUUCAGGGUGAUCUGCCGCGGUGGCAGUAGUGGAGCCGGAGACAUUUUCUUUGGACUUUAUUUUCUCAGAGGUGGAUAGACAUGGCCGUUAGGGUGACCCUGGUGCGGUGCUUCUCUGCCAAUCGUUGCUUUCACGACUCUAUGAAUAAAGAAAGAAAAGUGAUGGGAAAGUUCUCGCCACUCUUUUGACCAAUAGGGGGGAAAUGGCGUCCUACAAAAGCGGAAGACUAACAUAUCGGAGGGAAGGUUUUUGUGUUCCUUUCUGUGGAAACAAGUUUCUUGGGAGGCUGCGUUUGAAUUUUGGUGCGUGUAACUGUGCCCAACAACCUUGUAAGAUGAAUUGGGGAGCAUCCCCUCCUUUUUGAAACAGGUGUUCUGGCUGAUGAGAAUUUAAAGGCCAUGGAUGAAGAUGGACUUGAAUUACAACAACAAGCACCAAACUCAUUUUUUGAUGCAACAGGAGCUUGUUGCUCCACACAUGGAUGGUAGUCAAAUUGUUGUGGAAGUUCAAGAAACGGUUUAUGUGUCAGAUGUUGUAGAUUCCGACAUAAUUGUACAUAACUAUGUUCCUGAUGACCCAGAUUCAGUUGUAAUCCAGGAUGUCAUUGAGGAUGUUGUUAUAGAAGAUGUCCAGUGUACAGACAUCAUGGACGAAGCAGAUGUAUCGGAAACAGUCAUCAUCCCUGAACAAGUGCUGAAUUCAGAUGUAACCGAAGAAGUUUCUUUAACACAUUGCACAGUUCCAGAUGAUGUUUUAGCUUCUGAUAUUACUUCAGCCUCAAUAUCUAUGCCGAAACGAGUCUUGACAAGUGAAUCUAUACAUGUGUCUGACAUUGGUCACGUUGAACAUGUGGUUCAUGAUAGUGUAGUAGAAGCAGAAAUCAUCACAGAUCCUCUGGCCACUGAUGUUGUCUCAGAAGAAGUGUUGGUAGCAGACUGUGCCUCUGAAGCAGUCAUAGAUGCCAACAGGAUCCCUGUGAACCAGCAGGAUGAAGAGAAAAACAACUGUGAGGACUACCUUAUGAUCUCUUGUGGAACUGUAGAUAUUGUCGAAAGUGAGCCUGAGAAUGAGCUUGGAGUUGAACUACUUGAUCCAAACAAUAGUAUUUGCGUUCCCAGGGAAAAGAUGGUUUAUAUGGCUGUUAACAACUCUCAGCAAGAAGAAGAACUGAAUGUCACUGAGAUUGCUGAUGAAAUUUAUAUGGAAGUGAUUGUUGGAGAGGAGGAUGCUACAGCCUCAGAGCAUGAGCAACAAGUAGAGGACAACAAAAUGAAAACCUUCAUGCCGAUUGCAUGGGAAGCUGCUUAUGGUAAUAAUUCUGAUGGAAUUGAAAACCGGAAUGGCACUGCAAGUGCCCUCUUGCACAUAGAUGAGUCUGCUGGCCUCGGCAGGCUGGCUAAACAAAAACCAAAGAAAAGGAGACCUGAUUCCAGGCAGUACCAAACAGCAAUAAUUAUUGGCCCAGAUGGACAUCCUCUGACUGUCUACCCUUGCAUGAUUUGUGGCAAGAAGUUUAAAUCGAGAGGUUUCUUGAAAAGACACAUGAAAAACCAUCCUGAACACCUUGCCAAGAAAAAGUACCGCUGUACUGACUGUGAUUACACUACCAACAAGAAGAUAAGUUUACACAAUCACCUGGAGAGCCACAAGCUAACCAGCAAGGCAGAGAAAGCCAUAGAAUGCGAUGAGUAUGGAAAGCAUUUCUCUCAUGCUGGCGCUUUGUUUACCCAUAAAAUGGUGCAUAAGGAAAAAGGAGCCAACAAAAUGCACAAGUGUAAGUUCUGUGAAUAUGAAACAGCUGAACAAGGCCUAUUGAAUCGCCAUCUUUUGGCAGUCCACAGCAAGAAUUUUCCUCACAUUUGUGUAGAGUGUGGCAAAGGUUUCUGCCAUCCAUCAGAGCUCAAAAAGCACAUGCGAAUCCAUACUGGAGAAAAGCCCUAUGAAUGCCAGUACUGCGAAUACAGGUCCACAGAUUCUUCUAACUUGAAAACCCAUGUAAAAACUAAGCAUAGUAAAGAGAUGCCAUUCAAGUGUGACAUUUGUCUUCUGACUUUCUCAGAUACCAAAGAGGUGCAACAACAUGCUCUUGUCCAUCAAGAGAGCAAAACUCACCAGUGUUUGCAUUGUGACCACAAGAGUUCAAACUCAAGUGAUUUGAAACGACACAUAAUUUCAGUUCAUACGAAGGACUAUCCUCAUAAGUGUGACAUGUGUGAUAAAGGCUUUCAUAGGCCUUCAGAACUCAAGAAACAUGUGGCUGCCCACAAGGGUAAAAAAACGCACCAGUGUAGACAUUGUGACUUUAAGAUUGCAGAUCCGUUUGUACUAAGUCGCCAUAUUCUCUCGGUUCAUACAAAGGACCUUCCAUUUAGGUGUAAGAGAUGUAGAACGAGAUUUCGGCAACAAAGUGAGCUUAAAAAGCAUAUGAAGACCCACAGUGGCCAGAAAGUGUAUCAGUGUGAGUACUGUGACUAUAGCACUACAGAUGCCUCAGGCUUUAAGCGGCACGUUAUCUCUAUUCAUACGAAAGACUAUCCUCACUGCUGUGAGCACUGCAAGAAAGGAUUCCGAAGACCCUCGGAAAAGAACCAGCACAUAAUGCGACAUCAUAAAGAAGUUGGCCUGCCCUAACAGUACUCUUCAUAGCUGUUUGUAGAGAACUGGCCUUGAAACAGAAAAUUCAUUUAGAAGCCAAUCAGUCUUGUUCACAUACAAUACUGUAUAUUGAUUUAUGCUGUGUACAAAUAGGAUUAUUGCUUCUCGUUGACUGUUUUUACGUUUUGUUCAAUGGUGUGUUCUGAAUUCUAUUCCGUUUGUUUAAUACAUGGGAAAAGGCAGCAACACGUUAGUUGCUUUUACUAAAGUAAUCCCUGAUUCUAUACUGAAGUUUUCUAUCUUAGAAGUUUUAUAUUCAUUUUAAAAUAUUUAACUUGCUUACCUUGAUGGACCAGCUAACUCAUGGUAACUCUGCAUUGGUAACUGAGAGGAUUCAUGUGGACUUUUUUGUCUCACAAAUUUCUCACAAUUAAAUCGUCAAGAGACAUCUAGUGGAAUGGGAGAUUUUGUAUGGUGAGGUCUCAUGCUCGUAACAUGGAAGUCAUUUACUUGUCUUGCUUAGUAAUGUAGACUGUAUGACAAUACAAGUUUUCCUAUGAACUCUUGUGUCCCUGGCAUCGCUGUGUAGAAGAGCAGUAGCUGGGUUUGUGUUUACCUUUCUUUCUGAUUUUUUUUUUCCUUUUUAGUGGAGAAAAUAUACUUUCUUUUCUUUAGACUCUUUCUUUACAUCUUCUGUCAGUGUAGUAAACUUUUAGAAAAUC